GUGCAGUCGAGCGAAUCGAUGGGAGCUUGCUCCCUGAUAUCAGCGGCGGACGGGUGAGUAACACGUGGGCAACCUGCCUGUAAGACUGGGAUAACUCCGGGAAACCGGGGCUAAUACCGGAUAAUUCCUUCCUCCUCCUGGAGGAAGGCUGAAAGAUGGUUUCGGCUAUCACUUACAGAUGGGCCCGCGGCGCAUUAGCUAGUUGGUGAGGUAACGGCUCACCAAGGCCACGAUGCGUAGCCGACCUGAGAGGGUGAUCGGCCACACUGGGACUGAGACACGGCCCAGACUCCUACGGGAGGCAGCAGUAGGGAAUCUUCCGCAAUGGACGAAAGUCUGACGGAGCAACGCCGCGUGAGUGAAGAAGGUUUUCGGAUCGUAAAACUCUGUUGUUAGGGAAGAACAAGUGCGAGAGUAACUGCUCGCACCUUGACGGUACCUAACCAGAAAGCCACGGCUAACUACGUGCCAGCAGCCGCGGUAAUACGUAGGUGGCAAGCGUUGUCCGGAAUUAUUGGGCGUAAAGCGCGCGCAGGCGGUUCCUUAAGUCUGAUGUGAAAGCCCACGGCUCAACCGUGGAGGGUCAUUGGAAACUGGGGAACUUGAGUGCAGAAGAGAAGAGCGGAAUUCCACGUGUAGCGGUGAAAUGCGUAGAGAUGUGGAGGAACACCAGUGGCGAAGGCGGCUCUUUGGUCUGUAACUGACGCUGAGGCGCGAAAGCGUGGGGAGCAAACAGGAUUAGA
rnacentral:rRNA from 1 species